rnacentral:rRNA from 1 species
GACGAACGCUGGCGGCGUGCUUAACACAUGCGAGUCGAACGCUGAAGACCUGGCUUUUGUUGGGUUGGAUGAGUGGCGAACGGGUGAGUAACACGUGAGUAACCUGCCCUCUUCUUUGGGAUAACGCCCGGAAACGGGUGCUAAUACUGGAUAUUCACUGAUCUUCGCAUGGGGGUUGGUGGAAAGGUUUGUUCUGGUGGGGGAUGGGCUCGCGGCCUAUCAGCUUGUUGGUGGGGUGAUGGCCUACCAAGGCUUUGACGGGUAGCCGGCCUGAGAGGGUGACCGGUCACAUUGGGACUGAGAUACGGCCCAGACUCCUACGGGAGGCAGCAGUGGGGAAUAUUGCACAAUGGGCGAAAGCCUGAUGCAGCGACGCCGCGUGAGGGAUGGAGGCCUUCGGGUUGUAAACCUCUUUCGCUCAUGGUCAAGCCGCAACUGUGGGUUGUGGUGAGGGUAGUGGGUAAAGAAGCGCCGGCUAACUACGUG